CGCAUCUGUGCAUGCAGCAUAUCAAUAAGCGGAGGAAAAGAAACUAACAAGGAUUCCCCUAGUAACGGCGAGUGAAGCGGGAAGAGCCCAAAUUUGAAAUCUUAAAGGGUUUCCCUUUACGAAUUGUAGUUUAAAGAAGUGUUUUCUGUUGAGGUUUUGGUAAAAGUUCUUUGGAAUAGGACAUCGAUAGAGGGUGAGAAUCCCGUAUUUGACCUUUACUUUCAACUUUGUGAUACACUUUCAAAGAGUCGGAUUGUUUGGGAAUGCAGUCCAAAAUGGGUGGUAAAUUUCAUCUAAAGCUAAAUAUUGGCGAGAGACCGAUAGCGAACAAGUACCGUGAGGGAAAGAUGAAAAGAACUUUGAAAAGAGAGUUAAACAGUACGUGAAAUUGUCAAAAGGGAAGCGUUUGACACCAGUGUUGUUUUUCUGAAAAUCAAUUAAAGAACUGUUUAUGCUAAGUUGUUUAGACUUUAUCAGCUAACUGUUUAGUUUUGAGCUUUUCUUUAAUGCACUUUUCAGUUAACAAGUCAACAUCAAUUUCUUUUGCUGUAAAAAAGCUUGAGGAAGGUGGCUUGAGAUUCGUCUUAAGUGUUUAUAGCCUCUUGCCUAUGCAGUCGGAGAGAUUGAGGUCUGCAGCGUAGAUCCUUCGGGGCUAAAUGCAUUUGUGCUAAGUUAUAGCAUUUUAUAGACAACUUGUUGACUAUGAUUUGUCUUGUAGCUUACUCGCUUAUGUUAUUUUACCUACGCUUAGGAUGUUGACUGAUAUGUAGUCGUA
rnacentral:rRNA from 1 species